AUAAUUUAAGACUGGAAUGAAAGAGUAAACAUAAAGAAAUAUUUCUAUUUAAUAAGUUUAAAUCUUACUUUUUAGUAAAAAGGCUAAAAUAAAACUUAAAGACAAGAAGACCCUGUAAAACUUUACACACUAAAAUUUAAAAUUUAUCUCUGUGUUCAGCUGGGGCGGCAUAAGAUUCUAACAUCUUAAAAUUUUAAUAAAUUUUAUCAUACCCAGAAUUUCUGAAAAUUAAACAAGCUACUUCAGGGAUAACAGCGUAAUCCAUUUUGAAAGAUCCUAUCGACAAAAGUGAUUGCGACCUCGAUGUUGGAUUGU
rnacentral:rRNA from 1 species